AUUGAACGCUGGCGGCAGGCCUAACACAUGCAAGUCGAGCGAGCGGCGGACGGGUGAGUAAUGUCUGUGAAACUGCCUGCUGUAGGGGGAUAACACCUGGAAACGGUAGCUAAUACCGCAUACCAUCAGAUGUGCCCAGAUGGGAUUAGCUCGUUGGUGGGGUAACGGCUCACCGAGGCGACGAUCCCUAGCUGGUCUGAGAGGAUGACCAGCCACACUGGAACUGAGACACGGUCCAGACUCCUACGGGAGGCAGCAGUGGGGAAUAUUGCACAAUGGGCGAAAGCCUGAUACAGCCAUGCCGCGUGUGUGAAGAAGGCCUUCGGGUUGUAAAGUACUUUCAGCGGGGAGGCGUUACCCGCAGAAGAAGCACCGGCUAACUCCGUGCCAGCAGCCGCGGUAAUAC
rnacentral:rRNA from 1 species